UCAUUGUUCAUAAUACAUGUUGAGCAAACCAACAAAAAAUACCACAAUAUAAUAAUAAAAAAAGAAAAUUAAAAUCCUCAGAUUGAAUUCAAUAAUAAAGACCCGAGUUCGGACAGAGAUGUAAGAAAACAUUACUUUCAAAGUGCAACAUUCACUGUUCGUUCAAUCAUGAAAUAAGCAAAAAUUUACACAGGACUAUCAACAUUAAAUUAAAACAAAAAAAUGGACAAUUAAAUUAAAACAAGAGAUGAAAC
rnacentral:lncRNA from 1 species